rnacentral:rRNA from 1 species
UUUAUGGAGAGUUUGAUCCUGGCUCAGGAUGAACGCUGGCGGCGUGCCUAAUACAUGCAAGUCGAGCGAACGGACGAGAAGCUUGCUUCUCUGAUGUUAGCGGCGGACGGGUGAGUAACACGUGGAUAACCUACCUAUAAGACUGGGAUAACUUCGGGAAACCGGAGCUAAUACCGGAUAAUAUUUUGAACCGCAUGGUUCAAAAGUGAAAGACGGUCUUGCUGUCACUUAUAGAUGGAUCCGCGCUGCAUUAGCUAGUUGGUAAGGUAACGGCUUACCAAGGCAACGAUGCAUAGCCGACCUGAGAGGGUGAUCGGCCACACUGGAACUGAGACACGGUCCAGACUCCUACGGGAGGCAGCAGUAGGGAAUCUUCCGCAAUGGGCGAAAGCCUGACGGAGCAACGCCGCGUGAGUGAUGAAGGUCUUCGGAUCGUAAAACUCUGUUAUUAGGGAAGAACAUAUGUAUAAGUAACUGUGCACAUCUUGACGGUACCUAAUCAGAAAGCCACGGCUAACUACGUGCCAGCAGCCGCGGUAAUACGUAGGUGGCAAGCGUUAUCCGGAAUUAUUGGGCGUAAAGCGCGCGUAGGCGGUUUUUUAAGUCUGAUGUGAAAGCCCACGGCUCAACCGUGGAGGGUCAUUGGAAACUGGAAAACUUGAGUGCAGAAGAGGAAAGUGGAAUUCCAUGUGUAGCGGUGAAAUGCGCAGAGAUAUGGAGGAACACCAGUGGCGAAGGCGACUUUCUGGUCUGUAACUGACGCUGAUGUGCGAAAGCGUGGGGAUCAAACAGGAUUAGAUACCCUGGUAGUCCACGCCGUAAACGAUGAGUGCUAAGUGUUAGGGGGUUUCCGCCCCUUAGUGCUGCAGCUAACGCAUUAAGCACUCCGCCUGGGGAGUACGACCGCAAGGUUGAAACUCAAAGGAAUUGACGGGGACCCGCACAAGCGGUGGAGCAUGUGGUUUAAUUCGAAGCAACGCGAAGAACCUUACCAAAUCUUGACAUCCUUUGACAACUCUAGAGAUAGAGCCUUCCCCUUCGGGGGACAAAGUGACAGGUGGUGCAUGGUUGUCGUCAGCUCGUGUCGUGAGAUGUUGGGUUAAGUCCCGCAACGAGCGCAACCCUUAAGCUUAGUUGCCAUCAUUAAGUUGGGCACUCUAAGUUGACUGCCGGUGACAAACCGGAGGAAGGUGGGGAUGACGUCAAAUCAUCAUGCCCCUUAUGAUUUGGGCUACACACGUGCUACAAUGGACAAUACAAAGGGCAGCGAAACCGCGAGGUCAAGCAAAUCCCAUAAAGUUGUUCUCAGUUCGGAUUGUAGUCUGCAACUCGACUACAUGAAGCUGGAAUCGCUAGUAAUCGUAGAUCAGCAUGCUACGGUGAAUACGUUCCCGGGUCUUGUACACACCGCCCGUCACACCACGAGAGUUUGUAACACCCGAAGCCGGUGGAGUAACCUUUUAGGAUCUAGCCGUCGAAGGUGGGACAAAUGAUUGGGGUGAAGUCGUAACAAGGUAGCCGUAUCGGAAGGUGCGGCUGGAUCACCUCCUUU